GUGAAUCAUCAAAUUUUUGAACGCAAAUUGCACUCCCUGGUAUUCCGGGGAGUAUGCCUGUUUGAGGGUCGUUAGAAUAAAAAACCGAGGCGUCGCUCUGGUUUUUAAGGGUGAUCGCGUCGGACUUAAGCCGUCGUUCAGAUGUUAAUUCAUGUCGAAGUGGCUUAAAUUUCAUCCAUUCGGUACGAUGAAAGCGUAGUUAAGAUAAAUUUUGAUUAAUAAGGCGCGAUGCGGUACCAUCUGAG
rnacentral:misc_RNA from 1 species